UACGAAGGGAGCUAGCGUUGUUCGGAAUCACUGGGCGUAAAGCGCACGUAGGUGGUUUGUCGCGUUGUUCGUGAAAACUCACAGCUUAACUGUGGGCGUGCGGGCGAUACGGGCAGACUGGAGUACUGCAGGGGAGACUGGAAUUCCUGGUGUAGCGGUGGAAUGCGCAGAUAUCAGGAGGAACACCGGUGGCGAAGGCGGGUCUCUGGGCAGUAACUGACGCUGAGGAGCGAAAGCGUGGGGAGCGAACAGG
rnacentral:rRNA from 1 species